rnacentral:rRNA from 1 species
ACACGUAGGGGCCUGACGUUGUUCGGAAUCAUUGGGCGUAAAGGGCGCGCAGGCGGCCGUCCAAGUCCGGUGUUAAAUGGUCGGGCUCAACCCGAUCAUGCGCUGGAAACUGGGCGGCUUGAGUCCCGUAGGGGAUGCCGGAAUUCCAGGUGUAGGGGUGAAAUCUGUAGAUAUCUGGAAGAACACCGAUGGCGAAGGCAGGCAUCUGGCCGGAGACUGACGCUGAGGCGCGAAGGCGCGGGGAGCGAACAGGUUUAGAUACCCUGGUAGUCCGCGCAGUAAACGAUGCGCACCGGGUGUCGGGCGGCAGCGCCCGGUACCGGAGCUAACGCGAUGAGUGCGCCGCCUGGGGAGUAUGCCCGCAAGGGUGAAACUCAAAUGAAUUGGCGGGG